AACACGUGGGUGAUCUGCCCUGCACUUCGGGAUAAGCCUGGGAAACUGGGUCUAAUACCGGAUAUGACCACAUGAUGCAUGUCGUGUGGUGGAAAGCUUUUGCGGUGUGGGAUGGGCCCGCGGCCUAUCAGCUUGUUGGUGGGGUUAAGGCCUACCAAGGCGACGACGGGUAGCCGGCCUGAGAGGGUGACCGGCCACACUGGGACUGAGAUACGGCCCAGACUCCUACGGGAGGCAGCAGUGGGGAAUAUUGCACAAUGGGCGCAAGCCUGAUGCAGCGACGCCGCGUGAGGGACGACGGCCUUCGGGUUGUAAACCUCUUUCAGCACAGACGAAGCGCAAGUGACGGUAUGUGCAGAAGAAGGACCGGCCAACUACGUGCCAGCAGCCGCGGUAAUACGUAGGGUCCGAGCGUUGUCCGGAAUUACUGGGCGUAAAGAGCUCGUAGGUGGUUUGUCGCGUUGUUCGUGAAAACUCACAGCUCAACUGUGGGCGUGCGGGCGAUACGGGCAGACUAGAGUACUGCAGGGGAGACUGGAAUUCCUGGUGUAGCGGUGGAAUGCGCAGAUAUCAGGAGGAACACCGGUGGCGAAGGCGGGUCUCUGGGCAGUAACUGACGCUGAGGAGCGAAAGCGUGGGGAGCGAACAGGAUUAGAUACCCUGGUAGUCCACGCCGUAAACGGUGGGUACUAGGUG
rnacentral:rRNA from 1 species